UGUGAUGCCCUUAGAUGUUCUGGGCCGCACGCGCGCUACAAUGACUUAUUCAGAAAGUUCACCUGGUCCGGAAGGAUUCUGGGUAAUCUUUUUAAUACAAGUCGUGUUAGGGAUCGAUCUUUGCAAUUAUAGAUCUUGAACGAGGAAUGCCUAGUAAGUACAUCUCAUCAGGAUGUGCUGAUUACGUCCCUGCCCUUUGUACACACCGCCCGUCGCUCCUACCGAUUUCGAGUGGUCCGGUGAACCAUCUGGAUUGCCCUCACGGGCGAGAAGUUUAGUAAACCUUAUCACUUAGAGGAAGGAGAAGUCGUAACAAGGUUUC
rnacentral:rRNA from 1 species